rnacentral:lncRNA from 1 species
AUCCGGCAUUGUCAUUGCUGUGGCUUGAGUCACUCCUGUGGCACAGGUUUGAUCCCUGGCCUGAGAACUUCCACAUGCUGAGAGUAUAGAUAAAUAAAUAAAUAACCUAACUGCUAAACCUAGUAUAUUGGGGAGUAGCUUAUUAAACAAGAGGGACUUGGAAGUUUCCAGCUCCAAAAAUCUGUCAUCUCACUUUUUCAGCCCCAUGGCUGAACUCUGAACAAUUUCUUUUUUUUUUUUUUUUUUCUUUUGUCUUUUUUAAGGCUGCACCCAAGGCAUAUGGAAGUUCCCAGGCUAGGGGUCUAAUUGGAGCUGUAGCUGCCAGCCUACACCACAGCCACAGCAAUGCAGGAUCCGAGCCAUGUCUGCGACCUACAACACAGUUCAUGGCCACACCAGAUCUUAAACCCACUGAUCGAGGCCAGGGAGCAAACCUGUAUCAACCAUUUCGAUCAUGUUUCUAAGUACUUUUAGGUUAUUAAUGAAUAUCUCCAUUUUUUCCAGGUUAUCCAAAGUCUAGCGUCAUCUGAUAUCAGAACACUAAGCUCUUAUCCAGUUUCUACUUCUCCUCUCCCACUGCUUGGACCUGACCCAGGCUUGAAGUUUGCAGUGGGCAAGAAGUAUGGACAGGAUUGCCAAAUAACACACAGGGUGCCCAGCUUAAUGUGAGUUCCAGAAAGCAACAAAUGCUUUUAAUAGAAUAACGUUCCAAAUAUUGCAUAGGAUGUGCUGAUAUUAUAAAAGCAUCCAUUGUUCAUCUAAAAUUCAAAUUUAACUGGGCAUCUGUACUUUUAUUUGCUAAAUCUGGCAAUCCUAGGUAGAAGGGCAGUAUUACUUUCUUCUGUGUUGCUCACUGUGCCAGAUGAAGACACGGAAAGGGUAGAAUGAAGGGGAAGGAAAGAUCUGGGCCUGCAAAGUUUUCACCUGCCAUCAGCAUCCUCUUCAUAUGUCAUAUGUCCAAGGUUGAUUUGUGGGAGAACCUCCAUCACUGGGGAUGUUUUUCUGUACUUUCCCUGACCUGGAAGAUGCCUCAUUUGGCUGACCACUGACAGCUGUCUGCUCAGCACCUGGCUCCUGCCUGUCCACUCUUUAUUAAGGUCAUUUUUCAUCCUUCCAUAUGGGACUAUUGGGGUUGGGAACUUUUGAAAUCCACCUGUUAGCAGCUCUCUUCCACAGAAUCCAAUUUGGGUCACAGAAAACCACAUCUUUGCCCCACUAAUCCCUGGAAGCCUUGGCCAACCUUGACUCUUUGUCCUGCGACCAGGCAGGCUGCUCCAGCCAGCUUUUGCUUCAGACCUUUUAUCCAGGGGUCAAUCAGUCACCAGGUACAAGACUGUCCCUGCAAACUCUGAGGGUCUUCCUAGCAUCCUCCUCACUCCAUUUAGGCUGAGUAGGAGGAGUCUUCCUCCCCUCCAGCACUAGGGAUGGGGUGGGAAACACAGCACUGCUCCAAAGCAGUGCCCAACACAGGCUCCUUCGUUAAUUCUCGAGACUGGAGGUAGUUAAAGCCUAAGGAUGGAAGAAUCACUUUGGGGCCACCCAUUUGGCAAGCCCUGCAUCGAUUUCUAGAAUGUGUUUACAACGUAGAGGCGCUUUGUACCUAUUGUUCUUGGCUUUGGAUGUUCUCAGCCUUUGUGUCUCAGUUGAAUUUCAGGCCUUAAGAAAUCUAUUUUAACAAUCGAUUACAUAACUGAAAGUGGUUAUAUAAUUGUAUUGUGAAGAUGAGAGGGGAAAGUCUGUGUGUGUGUGUAUGUGUGUGUGUGUGUGUGUGUGUGUGUGUGUGUGUGUAGGGGGCAAGGGAUUGCCAUAAACCCAGAUCUUCAUUUAUCAAAACAGGAGGCAGAAAAGAGUGUCUGAAACUUAGAAAUACCAGAAAGAAGAUCCAAGUUACUGAAAAUGCAUGUCUUUGGGGAAUGAAACUGGGAGUUUGAAGAUUAGUGGAGACAAAAUACUAAUUUUUUCAUUAUGUGCCUUUUAGUACUAUUUCUUAAACAAAUCUAUUACUUUGAUAAUAAUGAAAAAUAUUUAAAGACUACAUUUUGCCAGAACCACAAAAAAACUAUGUAGUUAUUAAAAAGAAUGAGGCAGGGAGUUCUCAUCGUGGUACAGUGGAAAUGAAUCCGACUAGGAAUCAUGAGGUUGUGAGUUCGAUCCCAGGCCUCGCUCAGUGGGUUAAGGAUCUGGUGUUGCUGUGAGCCCUGGUGUAGGCCGGCAGCUAUGGCUCCAAAUCGACCCCUAGCCUAGGAACCUCCAUAUGCCAUGAGUGUGGCUCUAAAAACCAAAAAAAAAAAAAAAAAAGACAGAUCUACAUAAUAAUGAUAGGUAAUGCUUAUGUAGUAUUUGAGGAACAUUGGACAUAGUAUAAAUUCUGGGCAUAUGUGUAUUUGUUUGCUAGAGCUGCUGUAACAAAGUACCACAAACUAGGUAGCUUUAAACAACGGGUAUUUGUUGUCUGCAGGUCAGAAGUCAGAAGUCAAGGUGUUGGGGGGUCCAUGCUCCCCCUGAAACCUGUGGAGGAGGAUGCUUCCUUGCCUCUUUCAGCUUCUGGUUGUCCCAGAUAUUCUUUGAUUUCUGGCAGCAUAACUUCCAUCUUCCCAUGGUCUUCUCUCUAUGUGUGUGUCUGUGUCCAAAUUUCCCCUUUUUAUAAGAACACCAGUCAGGGAAUUCCCACUGUGGCUCAGUGGGUUAAAAAUCUGACUAGUGUCCAUGAAGAUGCAGGUUCGAUCCCUGGCCUUGCUCAGUGGGUUAAGGAUCUGGCAUUUCAAGAACUAUGACAUAAGUUCCAGUCACAGCUUGGAUCCGGUGUGGCUGUGGCUGUGGCGCAGGCCAGCAGCUACAGCUCCAAUGCAACCCCUAGUCUGAGAACUUCCAUUUGCCACAGAGAAGAAAACAAAACCAAAACCAAAAGGCUAGUCAUCUUGGAUUUGGGUCCACCCCAAUAACCUCAUUUUAAUUUGGUUAUCUCUGUAAAUAUCCUAUUUUCAAAUAAGAUCCCACUCUGAGGUCCUGUGGUGGGGGUGCAGGAUUUCUAACAUAUUUCUGGGAGGAAACCCAGUUCAGCUCAUUAACACCAGUGAGAUGGAUACCAUUGUUAGAUCCACUUUGCAGAUAAGGAAAUCAGAGCACUGAGAGAUUAGAUAAUUUGGUCAAGAACACCUGCCUAUGUAAUAAUGGUACUGGAAUUUAAGGCCAGGAAAUCUGGCUUCCAAAUCCUAUGCUUUUAGCCCCUAGACCAUGUGCUCUCUCUCCAACUUAAAUAUACAAAACAAGGCGAGAGCAAAGCAUAGAGUAUGCUGUCAUUUAGGUGGGAAAAAAAAAAAAUGGAGAUAACUAUUACAUCCGUGCUUACCUAUACACAGUACAUGUUUAGAAGAAUGCCCAAGAACCUGACAACUGUUUCACCUCUGGAGAGGAGAAGGUGGGGCAAGGAAGUGAGUCCUGAAUAUAUAUUCUUUUAAAACUUUGGAGUUCCCGUCGUGGCGCAGUGGAAAUGAAUCCGACUAGGAACCAUGAGGUUGCAGGUUCUAUCCCUGGCCUUGCUCAGUGGGUUAAGGAUCCGAUGUUGCUGUGAGCUGUGGUGUAGACCAGCAGCUACAGCCUGAUUGGACCCUAGCCUGGGAACCUCCAUAUCCUGUGGGUGCAGCCCUAAAAAGACAAAAGACAAAAAAUAAAUAAAAUAAAUUUAAAAAUAAAACUUUGAAGUUUACUGGGAGUUUUUUGUUCAUUUGCCAUGUAUAGGAAUUAAUUUAAAAUCUUUCAGUUUGGUGUAACGGAAACGAAUCCGACUAGGAACCACAAGGUUUUGGGUUCCAUCCCUAGCCUCGCUCAGUGGGUUAAGGAUCUGGCAUUGCCGUGAGCUGUGGUGUGGGUGGCAGGCGCGGCUCGGAUCUGAUGUGGCUGUGGCUCUGGCGUAGGCUGGCAGCAACAUCUCUGAUUAGACCCCUAGCCUGGAAACCUCCAUAUGCCGCUAGUGUGGCCCUAAAAAGCAAAAAAAAAAAAAAAAAAAAAAAAAAAACUUUCAGUUAAAAAUGAAAGCAGGAGUUCCUGCUGUGGUACAGAAGGUUGAGGAUCUAGUGUUUUGUCUUCAGAGGCGAGGGUUCAAUCCCCAGCCCAGCACAGUGGGUUAAGGAUCUGAUAUUGCCACAGCUAUGGCAUAGGUCGCAGCUGCAACUCAGUUUUGAUCCCUGGCCUGGGAACUUCCAUAUGUCACAGGUGCAGCCAAAAAUAAAAAUGAAAAUGAAAGCUAGAGGUAUGUUCUUUAACUAAUGCCAUCCCCCCAGAUUCCAGGGGCUAAUACACUGUGGAAGUGUAUAUGGAAUCUGUUUGGGGGAAAUGAUCUAAGCCUUGCUUUCCAGACACCAUCUUUAAGGAAGACAGUUGCUUUGAAGGGCUGUUUUGGUGGCUGUAGAACUUUAGAUAGUGCAUUAUUUUGCUUCCAUUACACUUUUAUGUUCGUGUAGAAUUUAAUGAUCAUGGGAAACAUAAAAUAUUACAUGAGCUUGGGGAGUUCCUGUUGUGGCUCAGGGCGUUAUGACCCCACCUAGUAUCCAUGAGGAUCCGGGUUCCAUCCCCGGCCUUGCUCAGUGGGUUAAGGAUCCGGAGUUACUGUGGCUGUGGUGUAGGCCGGCAGCUGUAGCUCUGAUUUGACCCUAAAUCUGGGAACUUCCAUAUGCCUAAUGUGCAGCCCUAAAAAGCAAAAAAAAAAAAAAAAAAAAAAGGCGAGACAGAAAUAGAUGUAAAUCGUAGCCAUGAUUAUUUUAGAUGAGAGUGAAAGAAUUAUGGAUGACAUUUAUUUAUUUUGCACUUUUUCUUGUUUUUUAUUUAAGUCCAAAGAUAGAAUUUAAAACACUUCUUAAAAUUACUGUGUUUUUGAAGGGCUGGACCCAUUCCCACAUGGACUGGCCCUGCCUGCCCAGAGGACAGUCCAGUGGUGACAUGCGUGUGAGCCCAGGAGGUCUCUCUCCUUCAAAGUCAGCCUAGGAGGCCUUCCCCCUAUAGCUCAAGGGGAUUGGGUGUUGUUUCUGCAGUGCCAGGGCACAGAUUCAAUCCCCAGCCAGACACAGUGGAUUAAAGGAUCCAGUGUUGCCA